UCGUAUCUUUGUCUAUAUUGUGUGGGUGGCUCUAAAUGCUCCCCAAAAAUUUUUGAAAACCCCAACUCGAAUUUUGAAUUUUGAAUUUUUUUUGGUAGAGACCACAAAAGACUCAAUUAAUUCCACUUGUAUCCCUUUCACUAACCUGCUACCAGGAUGGCCACCACCGCCAAAGCCUCUUCUGCUGCAGUUUUCAUUUCCAUACGCCCACCACCACUAGAUUUGAACCUUACAAGUAGACAAAGAAGAAGCGAAAACGGCAGUGGAGUCCCACCAUCUCAAGGUCAAGUUGGUGGUCGAAGAGGUCACAAGUACAGGCCAAUGGUUGCCCAUGACCACAAUUGCGUUGUCCUCGAGAGUUCUCUCUCGAUCUUGGAUCUGCUUUCUCUACUCUUUUCCCCAAUCACAAAAAGUCCUUUAAAAGAAGAAAUAGGAAGGGCAACGGCAGUGAUGACAACGGUGAGGGCGAUAAUAGCUGGGGUUUGAAAAGGAAGAAGAUGAUGGUGAUGAUGAUGAUGAAGAAGGAGUCAGGCUAUUGGCCGAAAUCAAGCUUCUGGCCAGAGCAGUGUUGUUUAAGUUUACGGUUUUGGCCAUUUUGGUCAUUUAGUUAGGUGACAAAAUUGUAUUAAAAAAAAAUUUGAAAAAUGGAGUGUUCAACUUAAAUUUUAGGGUGCACUCAGAGCUACCCAUGUUGUGUAUAUGGCCUACUAUUUUACACAAAUGGAAUGAAAUUAGAGAAACACUUAAAGAAAAUAAGAUUUAUUUAUUUUCCGAAUGGAA